UACGUAGGGUGCGAGCGUUAAUCGGAAUUACUGGGCGUAAAGCGUGCGCAGGCGGUUCGUUGUGUCGGUGGUGAAAGCCCCGGGCUUAACCUGGGAAUGGCCAUGGAAACUGGCGAACUGGAGUGUGGCAGAGGGGGGUGGAAUUCCGCGUGUAGCAGUGAAAUGCGUAGAGAUGCGGAGGAACACCGAUGGCGAAGGCAGCCCCCUGGGCUAGCACUGACGCUCAGGCACGAAAGCAUGGGGAGCAAAAGGG
rnacentral:rRNA from 1 species